CCACCUGACCCCAUGCCGAACUCAGAAGUGAAACGCCGUAGCGCCGAUGGUAGUGUGGGGUCUCCCCAUGUGAGAGUAGGGAACCGCCAGGU
rnacentral:rRNA from 1 species